rnacentral:rRNA from 1 species
CAGCAGUAGCCGCGGUAAUACGGAGGGUGCAAGCGUUAAUCGGAAUUACUGGGCGUAAAGCGCACGCAGGCGGUCUGACAAGUCAGAUGUGAAAUCCCCGGGCUUAACCUGGGAACUGCAUUUGAAACUGUCAGGCUGGAGUCUUGUAGAGGGGGGUAGAAUUCCAGGUGUAGCGGUGAAAUGCGUAGAGAUCUGGAGGAAUACCGGUGGCGAAGGCGGCCCCCUGGACAAAGACUGACGCUCAGGUGCGAAAGCGUGGGGAGCAAACAGGAUUAGAUACCCGGGUAGUCCCUGUCUCUUAUAC